rnacentral:rRNA from 1 species
GGAAUAUUGGACAAUGGGGGAAACCCUGAUCCAGCGACGCCGCGUGAGUGAUGAAGUAUCUCGGUAUGUAAAGCUCUAUCAGCAGGGAAGAUAAUGACGGUACCUGACUAAGAAGCACCGGCUAAAUACGUGCCAGCAGCCGCGGUAAUACGUAUGGUGCAAGCGUUAUCCGGAUUUACUGGGUGUAAAGGGUGCGUAGGUGGUAUGGCAAGUCAGAAGUGAAAACUUUGGGCUCAACCCGGAGACUGCUUUUGAAACUGUCAUACUGGAGUGCAGGAGAGGAAAGCGGAAUUCCUAGUGUAGCGGUGAAAUGCGUAGAUAUUAGGAGGAACACCAGUGGCGAAGGCGGCUUUCUGGACUGUUACUGACACUGAGGCACGAAAGCGUGGGGAGCAAACA